ncrna:rumen bacterium NK4A124 DTF3800-XI RNA
CGGGCUGGUCGAAAGACCCUGGUCCAUCUACCGGCGGGGAAGUUCCUC